UCAGACGAUGCGUCAUGUAUAUCAAUAAGCGGAGGAAAAGAAACUAACAAGGAUUCCCUUAGUAACGGCGAGUGAAGCGGGAAGAGCUCAAAUUUGAAAUCUUCAAGGUUUUACCUUGACGAAUUGUAGUUUAAAGAAGCGUUUUCUGCUGAAGUUUUGGUAAAAGUUCUUUGGAAUAGGACAUCAUAGAGGGUGAGAAUCCCGUAUUUGACCUUUAUUUUCAGCUUUGUGAUACACUUUCAAAGAGUCGGAUUGUUUGGGAAUGCAGUCCAAAAUGGGUGGUAAAUUUCAUCUAAAGCUAAAUAUUGGCGAGAGACCGAUAGCGAACAAGUACCGUGAGGGAAAGAUGAAAAGAACUUUGAAAAGAGAGUUAAACAGUACGUGAAAUUGUCAAAAGGGAAGCGUUUGACACCAGUGUUGUUUUUCUGAAAAUCAAUUAAGGAACUGUUUAUGCUAAGUUGUUUAGACUUUAUCAGCUAACUGUUUAGUUUUGAGCUUUUCUUUAAUGCACUUUUCAGUUAACAAGUCAACAUCAAUUUCUUUUGCUGAAAAAAAGCUUGAGGAAGGUGGCUUGAGAUUCGUCUUAAGUGUUUAUAGCCUCUUGCCUAUGCAGUCGGAGAGAUUGAGGUCUGCAGCGUAGAUCCUUCGGGGCUAAAUGCAUUUGUGCUAAGUUAUAGCAUUUUAUAGACAACUUGUUGACUAUGAUUUGUCUUGUAGCUUACUCGCUUAUGUUAUUUUACCUACGCUUAGGAUGUUGAAGUCAUCGUAUCGCGC
rnacentral:rRNA from 1 species